rnacentral:lncRNA from 1 species
GUGUUAAUAGCUAAUAAUAGAGCAAGCUUGAUUACUACCUUGGUGUCCUAAAACGGAUGUUGGCCUGCCAGGGAGCAGCCAAGGUGAAGUUUUCAACCAGGCCGACCAACUUCAGAGUCCACUGGCUUCAAAACAGUGCUUUACAUCCUCCUUCCAACAUUAUUCACAAGCCGAUCAAGACUGAGAGAGUCACAAGUGUGUGAAACCUGUAUUCUUUCUGACUUCAUUUUCCCUGGUCGAAAUUUUUGUAGAAUAGACAAAUCAAGAAUGAUGACUUCUUAAGAUGCAGUAUUCAAGUUCAGAAAUCUAUACUCAGAUGACCUUAUGUAGGUCAUCUGCUUCUGAGGUUUAUCUCACCAGUGUUUUAUGUGAAGAACUGCAGUAAUGAAUUCUGAAUUUGUUCAAAUCAUUGAAGAUGUGUGAAGACAAAACAUUCACUCAAAUCUCUAUCAUGUUAGCAUGUUAUUUAUCAUUGCUCUGUUCUUCAUUGUUGAAUAAUGCAAUUGAGUUAAAAAGAAUAAACAUUAUUUACCGAAGAC